rnacentral:misc_RNA from 1 species
CAAAUCUUUUGCGAGGCUGCGUGCUUAACUGUGCGUAGUAUCUCACAACAUUAGCACAAGGUCGCAAGGCCUUGAUGUUUACGCUUGUAUGUUUGACAGAGUUAGUUGAGACAAUAAAAAGA